CUUGCUACUGAUUCUUAUUCUGGUAUCGUUGCUCCAAUUGUGGUUCAAAAAAUAUUGGAAGAUAAUAAAGCCGGAGUUGAGCCAUCAAUAAGUAUACUAGGAUACAUAAGUGGAUCACCACAUUCAGAUCUUGAACUUGAAGUCAAUGAUGAAAUACCACAGGCUCAUCAGCUGGGACUUAUAUCUAAAGCUAUUUACGAAUCAGCCAAAGACUAUUGCAACGGCUCUUACGUUGAUUGGGGUGCCACUACCGUCAGUGCGGAUUGCGAAGAG